rnacentral:rRNA from 1 species
UACGAAGGGUGCAAGCGUUACUCGGAAUUACUGGGCGUAAAGAGCGCGCAGGCGGUCGUUCAAGUCGCGUGUGAAAGCCCCCGGCUCAACUGGGGAGGGUCACGCGAUACUGAUCGACUCGAAGGCAGGAGAGGGUAGUGGAAUUCCCGGUGUAGUGGUGAAAUGAGUAGAUAUCGGGAGGAACACCAGUGGCGAAGGCGACUACCUGGCCUGUUUCUUGACGCUGAGGCGCGAAAGCUAGGGGAGCAAACGGG